rnacentral:tRNA from 2 species
GCGCACGUGGCGGAAUUGGUAGACGCGCUAGCUUGAGGGGCUAGUGAUUGUUAUUAAUCGUGGAAGUUCGAGUCUUCUCGUGCGCA